CCUACGGGAGGCAGCAGUGGGGAAUUUUGGACAAUGGGCGCAAGCCUGAUCCAGCUAUUCCGCGUGUGGGAAGACGGCCUUCGGGUUGUAAACCACUUUUGUAGAGAACGAAAAGUCUGUUGAUAAUACCGAUAGAUGAUGACGGUACUCUAAGAAUAAACACCGGCUAACUACGUGCCAGCAGCCGCGGUAAUACGUAGGGUGCGAGCGUUAAUGGGAAUUACUGGGCGUAAAGGGUGUGCAGGCGGUUUUGCAAGAUGGGUGUGAAAGCCCCGGGCUUAACCUGUGAAAGCCAUACAUGACUGCAAGACUAGAGUGCGUCAGAGGGGGGUGGAAUUCUAAGUGUAGCAGUGAAAUGCGUAGAUAUUUGGAAGAACACUGAUGGCGAAGGCAGCCCCCUGGGACGCAACUGACGCUCAUACACGAAAGCGUGGGGAGCAAACAGGAUUAGAUACCCGAGUAGUC
rnacentral:rRNA from 1 species